CGAAAGCCCUUGGUACUUGUCUGAUCAAUCACACUGAUAGCUUCAAUAGUUCACUGAAAUUUUUGUGAAUGAUCGUGACAGCUCUUCAAAUCCUAUUCAGUCUGAUUAGAUAUGUCACUGAAACAAAGUGAUUCCGUUCUGUCUCUGUUUUCUUUUCGGAUUCCGAGGAUGAGCCGGCCGAUCCUAACAUCAUUGAUCCUAUUCAGUUUGAUUAGAUAUGUCACUGAAACAAAGUGCUGUUCUGUCUCUGUUUUCUUUCGGAUGGGAGGAUGAGCCGGCCGAUCCUAAUAUCAUUUAUGAGGAGCAGGACGACGAAGCCUCCUCCUCAGAUAAAAAUAUCUCCGAUGCUACUCUCACGGCAAGAACAACUUUUUCUAUUGUGAUUUUUUGAUGAGUUCAGUCAGGAAGAACAAAAGAGAGAUGCUUUCUAUAAGAAAAAAUUAUAUAUCGCCCCCCGUGCUCCCACGGUGCGCUUAUCGAGGAACAGAAAGGAAGGACCCGGGGCCAGAGCAAAUUGGGUUUGGGUAUAGAGCCGUAAGCACGGUGGGGGUGACAGAGGACAUGCUCGUACAGUUCAUAGAAGGAUAUGAAAAAGUACUUAUUUGUUGGGAACUUUCACUCCUCUAUAAUCGAAAUAUUCCUCUCUAGGAUCAUUACGAUCUGCAGCUCAAAUUGUCCCUUAUGAAGUCUCUAUUGGUCUUAUUCUUAUUUUGCGCCUUGUGAGCGCGUUUGGAUCUGCGAAGGCAAUCGCUCGGAUGUUCCCCUAACCCAACCCGGGAACGGACCGGAGGGAAUCGCAGCAUGGGGAAUGUCUGCGUCUCAUCGCAAGGCUCAUUUUGAGUUGUGGGUCAUAAGGCGGGCAGCUUUAUCUUAUCAAGGGCCAGGGCACAAGGGUUCUGUUACUAUCUAGGUGCGAAGAACCCCAGAGGUUACUGCAAUGAGAAGAAAUCUCACUCACGGGUCUAAACGACGAGCAAACACUCGAAUGUGAGAGCAACGGAUCACCCAAUGAAUGGACGAGCUCAAAGGGGGGAGGGAGGAAAGAACCAUGCUUUCAGAGACCUAACCCAACCCGGUCCGAAUCUUAUCUGAACAGCGAGAAUAAAAUACUAAGCCGUGCCAAAAGGGGUCAUCCUCCAUACAGGAUGGGGCCAAGCCUUUCGGUUGUUUAAGUAGGUUGAGUGACAUAUCGGCCAUAAGAGUACUCCGGGAUAUAAACCAGGGCAACAAAAGUGGAGCACAUGACGAUGCCACCCGUUUUCAUUUCGUGGAAGUCCCCGGCAGAAGAAACGGCUGUAGGUGAUGGCGCGCUCUGCUUCUUAUGACAAGAGGGGAGUCGAAAUCCUUUCUAUUGGUUCUUGCAUGGCAGCUGGUAUAGAUGAUAAAAUGCGGGCCGCUUUUCGGGAGCUAUUCUCUUAAUAGGCGGCAAAGCGAAAUAGGAAAGGGGGCGAGCUGAGUGAUGAGUGCCUUUUUAGCCUUUACUUAAAAGGAUCUCAUGUGGAGCUAACAUGGCUGGCUACAUACAACUAUAGCCAAAUCAAGAUGAGAUGGGACGGCUGUUCAGAGGCCGCAGCAGGACUACCAUAAGAAAGCCCACCCCCGCUAGCUAACAUAUAAAGAGGUUCGCGGAUAGAAGUAGUCUCUAUGUGAAUCUCUUCCCGACCGGCCAGGCUAAAUCGGGGCACCACUUGGGAUGGAAUGGCUCAACCCACAUGCAUCAUUCGAUGAAAGCACUCGAGUCGCCUCCGAUGCUUGGUUUGUCAACCACGCUUUCUCUCCCUCAAAACAAUGCUCAGAACACGAAAGUGUGCAGUUCCGCCCCCUUCUCCCAUGUUGAGUCACGGGCAGCGCCUCAGAAAGCACGGACGAGCAACAUGCAGGGAAACUUGCACGUGUGGUUCUGGGCGGGGACCUCGGUAUACUGUACUAAUAUGUGUAGGUUCUCGUAAUUCGAGUUAGAUUGUUAUGGCGCAAAAGUAGAUACAGUCCGGUAUUCCCUUAUUCCCUGUAUUGGUUAUGUUCUUUAUAUCUCGUCUAGCAGAAACUAAUAGAGCUCUGUUUGAUCUCCCAUAAGCGGAAGCUGAAUCAGUUGUAGGCUAUAAUGUAGAAUAUGCGCGGGAUGCGAUCCUUAAUAGUUCACUGUUGGCGGAAGCCAAUGUCCCGGGGUCUCGGGGACUCAUUCUGACUGAAACAAGGGGCGGGUCUUUACCAACUUCCAAAUAUUCUAUUUUAGGGAAGCCAAAAAAGGUGAGCGCCUAGCGCGAAAGGUUGCUUUACUAAGUAAGAUAAGGCAAGAAGCAAGGGCGCAGCAGCUGCACGAAGUUGCUUCUUAGCGCAUCCGUUUUCUUGCUCGUUAGCGCUUGACUAAUAAGAUAGAAAGAGCCUUUCUUGCUUGUUUAGUAAAGUCUCGCUUUUUGAUAGGAGUAGGUGCUUGCUAGGGCAGGGCACUUUUCAUUCUUCAAUCGCGGGGUCUCGGGGACUAAUUCUGACUGAAACAAGGGGCAGGUCUUUACCAACUUCCAAAUAUUCUAUAUUAGGGAAGCAAAAAAAGGUGAGCGCCUAGCGGAGAUCUUAUCGGCCGGCAAACCAGAGACGGACGACCACGGAUCCGGCCUUACCAGCACCGGAGGUCUACUAAUCAAUGAACCCACGA
rnacentral:lncRNA from 1 species